CGCACAUUGCGCCCUUUGGCAUUCCGAGGGGCAUGCUCGUUCGAGCGUCAUUAAAUCCAAUCAAGCCCGGCUUGGUAUUGGGCAUCGGGAUCUCCCCGUGCCUCAAUUUCACCGGCUGGCCGUCGCCCGUCUUAGUGUUGUGACACAAUUCUCGCUAGCGAUGGAGGCGGACCACGCCGUUAAAACUUUCAUUAAGGUUGACCUCGGAUCAGGUAGGGAUACCCGCUGAACUUAA
rnacentral:misc_RNA from 1 species